GUUCUCAGAAUUUUCUUUUUCUUUCUUGUAUCACAAAUUUUCACUGUUUAAAGUUCAGAAAUGUAGCAGUGCUUGUUACUUCUCUUUGUUAGCUUAACUCUGAAUGUGACCACAUUCUACUGUUUGUAAAUCGAGGAGAGAAUGAUGGUAUAUGAUUCUUCUUUGAGUUACUUCAAAUGCCCACAAAGAAUCGUCUGGUGGCCACUGCUUUCUCUCUUUGCUGUAAGACUGCAACACCCUGGGCUAAUACAACACCCUGCUCACAGGGGAGCUCACUGAGCUGGGAGAAGAAAGACUGUGGGUGGCAAAAGAGAUAGAGAAGAAAUUAUAAAGCACUAUCCGAAUAUCCCUGAACCAAUUUCACUGUGAUCCAGGUGAUCUGAAACUCUGUUUGUGCUGAAUUGAGUCAUUUGCUGACACUGACUCUUGCUGCAGCAACUCUCAGUAUUUAAAAAGUCAAAAAAUUUGCCCGUGAAGGAUGAUGGUGGAACAGAGAUUCCACCUGCAGCCUGUGGAGGACCUCACACUGAAGCAGGUGGAUGCCUGAAGGAGGCUGUGACCCCGUGGGAAGCCCGCGCUGGAGCAGGCUCCUGGCAGGACCUGUGGCCCCGUGGGGGACCCACGCUGGAGCAGUCUGCUCCUGAAGAGUCAACUGCACCCCGUGGGAGCAACCCGCGCUGGAGCAGUUGGUGAAGAACUGCAGUCCGUGGGAAGGACUCAUGUUGCAGAAGGUGGUGGAGGACUGUGUCCCGUGGGAGGGACCCCACACUGGAGCAGGGGAAGAGUGUGAGGAGUUCCCCCCGUGAGGAGGAAGGA